GAUGAACGCUGGCGGCGUGCCUAAUACAUGCAAGUCGAGCGAACAGACGAGGAGCUUGCUCCUCUGACGUUAGCGGCGGACGGGUGAGUAACACGUGGAUAACCUACCUAUAAGACUGGGAUAACUUCGGGAAACCGGAGCUAAUACCGGAUAAUAUAUUGAACCGCAUGGUUCAAUAGUGAAAGACGGUCUUGCUGUCACUUAUAGAUGGAUCCGCGCCGCAUUAGCUAGUUGGUAAGGUAACGGCUUACCAAGGCAACGAUGCGUAGCCGACCUGAGAGGGUGAUCGGCCACACUGGAACUGAGACACGGUCCAGACUCCUACGGGAGGCAGCAGUAGGGAAUCUUCCGAAAUGGGCGAAAGCCUGACGGAGCAACGCCGCGUGAGUGAUGAAGGUCUUCGGAUCGUAAAACUCUGUUAUUAGGGAAGAACAAAUGUGUAAGUAACUAUGCACGUCUUGACGGUACCUAAUCAGAAAGCCACGGCUAACUACGUG
rnacentral:rRNA from 1 species